UACGUAGGGGGCAAGCGUUGUCCGGAUUUAUUGGGCGUAAAGAGCGUGUAGGCGGCCAGGUAGGUCAGCUGUGAAAACUCGAGGCUUAACCUCGAGACGCCGGCUGAAACCCUCUGGCUAGAGUCCGGAAGAGGAGAGCGGAAUUCCUGGUGUAGCGGUGAAAUGCGCAGAUAUCAGGAAGAACACCCGUGGCGAAGACGGCUCUCUGGGACGGUACUGACGCUGAGACGCGAAAGCGUGGGGAGCGAACAGG
rnacentral:rRNA from 1 species